rnacentral:tRNA from 1 species
UUCCAGGUGGCUCAGUGGUAAAGAAUCUGCCUUCCAAGUAGGAGACCUGGGUUCGAUCCCUGGGUGGGAAA